rnacentral:rRNA from 1 species
UACGUAGGGUGCGAGCGUUGUCCGGAAUUAUUGGGCGUAAAGCGUCCGCAGGCGGCUUUUUAAGUCUGUUGUCAAAGCCCACAGCUCAACUGUGGAUCGGCAAUGGGAAACUGGGAAGCUAGAGUGUGGUAGGGGUAGGAGGGAAUUCCCGGUGGUAGCAGUGAAAUGCGUAGAUAUCAAGAGGAACACCAGUGGCGAAGGCGAGUCCCUGGACAACACCUGACACUGAGGCACGAAAGCCGGGGGAGCAAACGGG